UUGCUCACACACACACUGUGAGGGACAAUCUCUGACAGGAUCUGAUUCACUGAGCUGGCAGAACAAUUUAAGUUUAAUGUUGACAAAGCAAUAUCUUAGGGAACAAAUUGUAAGUGCUUGAACUUUUGAUUCAUCAACAUUGUUGGUGUGCUCACUCAGUAACACUGGCAGCCACAAAACACUGACUUCUGUGAGUUGCCACUGUGCAUAAUAGCUGAAGUGACUACUAAUGGAGAGUUCACAUUUGUGUGAUUAUUCCUGGUAAAGUGCUCAGUUAUUAUAUUACCUGAAUAAUAUCAAACCUCAAUCAUUAUUUCUCUGUUUUGUUUGAUUUUUAAAAGUAACAGUGGACUUGUCAGUUUCUUCCUUGUGAAUAAAUACUGACAGUCACUACCUGUUGCUAACAUUUGCUUUCCAACCUAUUAUCUUGUAUCUGUGUAUCUAACACACUUAUAAUACCAAAUAAGUUUUGGGAAAUUCUAGGAAUAAGAAGAUACACUAUUGUUCAAAAGUUUGGUGUGGUGAAGAAAAUACCAGACCUUUUGCUACAGAUACUGUCAUGUGUCACUCCAUUUCAAACAGUUAUCCACAAUUCUUUUAUCUUUUAUUUUGUGCCACUGUCUGUCAGAUCUUACCUUUUCUUGUCACACCUUGCUAUUUGCAAUUGCUUACCAGACUCUUUGGUUCAAUUACCGUUUUGUUCUGUUGUCUUACCCUCGGUCACUGAUUAGCAACCAUAUGCAAAUUAGCCAUUAUUCACCUUGGUAGUUACAUACAGACCCCUCCCUACCCUUUGAGCACCCCGUUCUUUGUUUCACCCUGCUCAACGCGACACACAUGCCGCUACCUGGACUCCUCCUCUCUCCCUGGAUUACAUUGUCGGUCUCCCUGCUCCCUUUUUUUUUUUUAUUGUGCAUAUAUACAUUAUUUACAGUGGGAUGUAUUUACACAUACAUAGACUUCAUUUUGUUUUAACGUUACCAAUAAGGAAAAAAGAAAAAUAACAAUAAACUCAAAGGGGGAAAAAAACUAAUAAAAAUAAAUAAAUCAAUAGAUAAAUAUGACAUUAGUAGACAAACCGGAGAAUACAAAUAGAUUUACAUAAUUUCUUCAAAAAUAUUACAUAAGUCAGUGGAUCUUUUGUUUGUUAUACAUUUCAGUGAGUCAAAGUAAUUUGUUAUGUCAGUCAAAAAUGCAGUAAAUAUUGGUUUUGAGUUUGAAAAGUUUGCUUUAUGAAUAUAUUUUCCAUAUAAUAUAAACGCAUUUAAUAUUUUAGCAAUCUUUCUAUUUUUGUGGUGAAAAUAAGUUAAGAUGUGUUUAAAGGUAAUAUUUAUUGGUGUUGAGAAUUUAAGUGAUAGAUAAGAUUCAAUAUUUCGCCAUAAUUUAGCUGUAUUAGUACAAUUAAAAAAGAGGUGGAUGAUAUUUUCUGUGGCUAAUGAACAAAAACAACAGUUUGAGUCAAUGUCAGUGAACUUUGAUAUCAUUUCAUUUGUUGAGUAAUAUCUAUGUAUAAUUUUAAAAUGAAUUUCUCUAAUUUUGUUGUUUAUGCAGUAAUUGAAUGGCAUCAUCCAUGUUUUCGGUCUCCCUGCUCCCCGGACUCUGUUCCUCAUUGGGAUUACCUGUCAGCUUCUUCAUUCCUCAUCUCACCUCCACACCUGGCUCCCUCAACUCAGCCCCUCUUCCAGUCUUCUGAUUUCCCCGCUCUGUCGCUGGGUUUUUUUGGAGACCUUGGAUUUUGGACCCUGGAUUCUGGAUUCUCUCCCUGGAUGGGAGAUGGCGAGCCAACUGUGUGAUCAGCUAGAGCUGGAGUGACGAGUGGACCCUCUCUUUUUCGGCUGUCGUUUUGCCGGUGUGGUAGGACUAAGGGAAUAGAAACUCUGAAAGAUUAAAGGAACAAUCCUUAAUUUUUUCCCUCCUUGGAGACAAGAGACAUUUUAUUUUAUUUUAUUUUAAAGGGUGCACCCAGGUUAAAAGACAAUUUAAAACAAAACAAAUUGAAAAGCCGGCCAUAUUUGUACAAAUGUUUAUUUUUCAUAUGUGUUAAUACAUUGCUGUUGCUAAACUUA